UCGGACGUGGUGCGCGGCGCACACCCGCGAUUCAUGAAAACGCACUAAACAGGUUGAUGCGAGAGGUUUGGGUUCGACUCCCAACGUCCGAA